rnacentral:rRNA from 1 species
GAUGAACGCUGGCGGCGUGCUUAUUACAUGCAAGUCGAACGAAGCGCCUCUCCCGAAGAUAGACCCAGCUUGCUGGGGAUUGAUUCACCUGAGGUGACUGAGUGGCGGACGGGUGAGUAACGCGUGGGUAACCUGCCUUAUACAGGGGGAAGACAGGUGGAAACGACUGCUAAUACCGCAGAAGCGCACAGUACCGCAUGGUACAGUGAGAAAAGCUGCGGUGGAGUAAGAUGGACCGGCGUCUGAUUAGCUAGUCGGUGAGGUAACGGCUUACCAAGGCAACGAUCAGUAGCCGACUGGAGAGGGUAAACGGCGAGAAUGGGACGGGGACACGGCCGAAACUCCUACGGGAGGCAGCAGUAGGGAAUAUUGCACAAUGGGGGAAACCCUGAUGCAGCGACGCCGCGUGAAGGAUGAAGUAUUUCGGUAUGUAAACUUCUAUCAGCAAGGAAGAAAAUGACGGUACUUGACUAAGAAGCCCCGGCUAAAUACGUGCCAGCCGCCGCAGUAA